rnacentral:rRNA from 1 species
CCUACGGGAGGCAGCAGUAAGGAAUAUUGGUCAAUGGACGAAAGUCUGAACCAGCCAUCCCGCGUGCAGGAUGAAAGCCCUAUGGGUUGUAAACUGCUUUUAGCAGAGAAGAAAAGCUUUCAUUAAUGAGAGUCUGACGGUAUCUGCAGAAUAAGCACCGGCUAACUCCGUGCCAGCAGCCGCGGUAAUACGGAGGGUGCGAGCGUUAUCCGGAUUUACGGGGUUUAAAGGGGAGUAAGGAGGCAGAUUAGAAAGCUUGUCGCUUAACGAUACAAUUGCCAAUGAUACUGGUACUCUUGAAUUGGGUUGAGGUUAGCGGAAUGUGACAUGUAGCGGUGAAAUGCAUAGAUAUGUCAUGGAACACCAAUUGCGAAGGCAGCUAACUGGGCCUUGAUUGACGCUGAGGCACGAAAGCGUGGGUAGCGAACAGGAUUAGAUACCCCUGUAGUC